CCCCCCCUGCCGCCGCUCGGCGACCAAGACAUCCUGACACAAUCACGGGGCUCCUUUGAAAACUGCAUCGAGUAAUUUAGCACUUGGGGAGGGAGGAAUUAUAUCCGUUUGAAAAGAAACCUCACACACGCAGAACCUCCAAAACGAUCGAUAAAUUUCCCUCGACCUUCCUUACCGCCGGGGAAAUAUCCUCUAGCCUAAAAUCCCUCUCCGAAGUGGGGUCCCGUUGUUUUGGAGCUGAACGGAGGAGGCUACGCUUGCAGAGGGGAGCUCUCCACGGCCAAGUCCGAUUUUUUUCGGGAAAAGCGAGUGAUCUCGGCCGCAGCAGCCCGGAGGUCCGAGCCCUGCUCGCUCUCUGUGCUCCGUGCAUACGUACAAAUAUCCGUGUGCGUGUCGUGUGUGUGUGCGGGGACACAUCCAGGCAGAGGAGCCGCAAGCAGAGCCUGGAGAACACGAGCUUUCCCUGGGUUUUGUGAGAGAUAAAACAGGCCUGGUACGAGUGAGAACAAAAGCCAAAAGGACUCGGGAUGGGAUUUCCCAGAAUUUUCCUCUUCUCCCUAAAUGCUGGUAUCACUCUCGCACUCGUGGCCGUUUCUCGUGGGCUCCUCCGGCGCAGCCCCAGCCUCUGCUGGCCCGGCCGCUGCCCCUGAGCUGCAGCCCGGCCUGCCCCGGGAGCACCUCCCGGAGCCCCUCUUUUGAACUUUUCCUACCCAAGGUCUUGACAGGCUGCUCUCGCUGUCCUCUUGGCGUCUACACGGAGAAAAUCUGGCAGGGGCUCCCUUCCCAGCAAUCCCCGAUGUGCUCCAAGCGCUCCGAGAGGCAGCCUCUCUCGGAGGGAGGGGUGCGCUGCCUUCGCAGUCAAAUUACGCCGCUGGCCUCAAAGGCACUGGCUCCGGAUUUUCAAACUAAUGCUCAUCUUUUAAAAGCCGAGCCAAGAAGAAAUUGCGAGGAAGGUCUCAGAUGCGGGGACCUCGGGGCAGAUCUGCUGCAAACUUCAUUAGGCCAGCUGGUGGAAUUAUAUCUGGCACGUGCUCUUUGACACAGUGCAGAAGGACAAACCAGGAGCAGCCCUGAAGGUGUCUUGGCUCUUUCAGAAAAGCAAGAAAAGAGACCAGCUGAUGCUCAGGUACAGAUGUCUUCCUAUCUGCAGGGCACUGAUGCUGUUGUACAGUGUGAUGCAGCUUUCAGAGGAUUACUUUGACACUGCCAAGUUUUACACCCCUAGGGAUUCUCAGUAAAAACGUCCACGGGAAAAGAAAUCCGACGCUAAAAAACGAAGUUUGGAAAUGGCAAAGUUAAAUAAAGCCUUCUUAUGCUCCAGUGCCUGAAGACAUGAUCACAAAUGUAUGUCAAACAGGGAGCAGGGUGGAGCUGGAUGCUCCAAGUGAGUGAGUUAUGGUGGAGUCUCGUCUGAUUCACUCCAAAGGUUGGAUGGCAUGCACUCCACGAGACAUGCGGCUGCACAGCAAACAAUGAGCAUAAAAAUAAAACCUGAACAGCUGCCUCAUUUGCUAAGUGUGUCCAUCUUGUACAUUGAGCAAGCCCAUGUUCCUGUGUGGAGGAAAAAAAAAAACCCCAUCUGAUGGUAUUAGCUAUAUAUAUACACACAUCAAUAUCGGAUGCUUUAUAAGGCUGGGAUAUGUCCUGGACUCCAGACAGAUAUAAGAAGAAAAGACAUCUUAGAGAAUAUUGCAUUUUUGGCAACAUGUGCUGGCUCAAAGGAAUUGUAAAGGAAGUAAAUUAAAUAGUACUAAGAAUGUGUAUAUUUAUAGCACUUUUUUUCCUAUACAAGGAUCCCAAAACACCUCUCAAAAAAAUUAAGCUUCACAACAUUGCUGUGAUCUAAGUAACAAGCAUCAUUUUUUUUUUCCCUAAUGCACGAAGUGAAUCAGAAAAAGACAAAGUAAUUUAACCAGACCAUCGAGAGCAAGAAAGUCAGAAUUUCAGGCUCAGAUUUUAACUCCUAGCCAAACUGUCUUCUGUGAAAACAUACAGGGAAGCUAUUGAUUUUCAUGCUUCCUCACUCUUCUCCAACAAUCCAGCGCAGUGCUCAGGCAUAUGGUUAACUUAAGGCCAUUGACUGUUGGCUUAUGUUUCUGAAAAAAACCUUUUGGCAUGAAGUACACACAGUUUUGAGGGAAAAAAAGAGGUAGGUUUAUAAGAGCAUUGGUCGUUUUACCAACUGUGCCUAGAAUUUCCUGGACGUUAUAAAUGUUCAGCUGAAUCCCCAGUGUCAGAUUGUAUUAAAAGACUGUCCUCAGAAAGGAACAUUCCAAAUUUCCAUGAGCUUCGCCAGUUUCCAAUGAUUUGAUGUUUAUUUGAGCUAUUGUACAAAGUUUUCUGUUGAGUCAGAUCAUUCAGGACUAGCUGCUGGGACCACAGAGUGUCAGCAGAACAUAAUUCAUCUGCGGCUGAUGGCAGCACGGGUUAUUGGAUAGGUAAUGCUUCUUCAGGCAGAGAUACCACCAGGAAAUUUGGUGGGGUUUAUUUCCUGUUAAAACAGAGAUCGAGCAUUCUGUUGCCCCUUUGUUUGCUUGUUGGAUCUCUUUAGGGGGUGGAGAAAUACCUGUAGCAGCUUUCUGGGGUGAAAGAGGCAGGGAGAAGCAGUAUGAUGAUUUUAAAGAAUGUCCCAGGUAUGCUCUUUUCUGUAUCAUCCGUGCUGCCUUGAGCCUUGUGUUGGCUUUUGGUCUUUUUUUUAUCUUUAUGCUUCCCAUACACACACACACACACACACACCUGCUGAACCUCUGCCUUUUCAGUCUAUUCCUAAGGGAAUUCCCUCAGACUGCGUAAAGUACCGAGCUCUUUUUCUUCAUAAUGGAAGAAAUACCUACCAAGAUUAUGCCUUGCUUUUGUGGUAUGAACUACAGUUGAAUAAAACUUCCCCAGCUGCACAGUGAGACCAAGUCUUUGAGCUUACAUGUGCUUUCUGUGAAAACAACUCGCCCAGAAACGUAAAGCAAGAAAUUUUUUUCUUUUUAUUUUCUUUUCUUUCUUUUUUUUUUUUUUUGUGUUUGCUUCUCAAAAGUAGCUGUGCAUGGAGCUCUAAUUAGCUUUUACGUCUGUAGAUGGGACAUCUUGGCUUCAAGAUAGAGCCUGUGUUGACUUAAUUACUUAGAUCUUAAGCUAUGCAAGGCUCUUGGUGCUUGUGUAGUACCUGGCAGUGCUGGAACUGGACCGAAGUUCCCCAGCGAGCCCUCAAUGCAAAUAAUGAAUGAAGCUACAUAAGAGGACUUUGAGUAACUCGUUCUAAACCACGAGAUGUUUGGACUGCAAAUAAAGGAGGAUAUGUGGGAUAUAAUCUGCUGUUGAGCUUUAGCACAAUUCCUGUUAACUCUGAGCCUGACACAGCCAGAACAAUAGCAGGCUAUAGAUUUUGUUUCUGUCCCUGACAUUUACUAAGCACUGCAAGACUAAAACAUUUUGAAGGUUAUAUCCAAUGUCUUGUAGAACGAAUGACAAAUGUCAACCCUUACACUCUUGCAAGAUCUGAGCGGGAAUAAGACAACUCUGUAGACUGAGGCAAGUUUAUUAUUACAAAUACCUUAUUAAAUCUAAAUGGUAAUGGCAUUCCAAUUAGCUCAUUGUUAGGAAUCUUUCAUGUUUGACUUUCAUUUAGACUGAUUACGGGAAUAAUGCAGACCCUGUAUAAGUAAUUGGCACAAAAUAAAAGCGUUUGAGCUGCAGAAACCCUCCUAGAGGCUGUGCUCUUUAAAAAAAAAUAAAUAAAAGCUUCCUAUCUUUCCC